rnacentral:rRNA from 1 species
GCUAGUAAUGGCAGGUCAGCAUACUGCCGUGAAUACGUUCCCGGGCCUUGUACACACCGCCCGUCACACCAUGAGAGUUGGAGAUACCCGAAGCCUGUGAGCUAACAAACGAGGCAGCAGUCGAAGGUAGAAUCAAUGAUUGGGGUGAAGUCGUAACAAGGUAUC